AAGAAAUAUGACAUUUUGCAGCGUUUUUUAUUUUGUUGCGAUUAAAAUCGCUGCAAUAGGUAAUUUUUUACAGCGAAAUUAAACUCGUUGCAAUGUUUUCGCAUCAAUUUACGAUUUAAAGCUGGGGCGCAUCAACUUUAAUUUUUUGCAGCGAUUUAUUACUUAAGAGCAGCGAAAAUAUGCUUUGUAAUAGGGAAAGUUUUGUUGCAGCGGGAUAAUCUCGUUGCUAUUGUGUCCGGGCGCCAAAUCGCAAGAGCACUUUAAUUUUUCCCCCCGAAAUUAUAUGCCCACUCUGUUACCGAGUACCCUUCUCCUCCACUUCGACGUUCUUACCAUUUCUCAGAAUCAUCAAUGCCCAGGUCACCCACCUUGAGAAUCAUGGCUUGGAUAACCUCCCUCGUCGACUACGUCCCAAACCCUAGAUUCUUUCCUCCACUUCAUUUUCCUUCCGCGGAAGUUACAUUCAUCGUUUCCUCCCCAUACGAGCUCUGUUUGUGGGUGAUUACUAUCGGAGUGAUUUUCACACCGAUUUCUACCUUGAAGUUGAAGUUGACGUUGUUGAGCCCGACUCUUGGGUUACCCCAUUCCGUCACCACAGUUAGGUGUGUAACCAAGUAGAGGGAAGGUAGAAACAUGAAGAAUUCAUGCUAUCUACUGCUUGAAGAGAACAGGGAGGAUGCAAUAUUAGAACUCACCAGUGUUCCCUGUGAUAUAUGACUACAAAAGAACUGUUUUGUCUUUACCCCCAAUUAUCAAUGGUGCACAUUCAGCAAUCACUCUUAAGACGAAGAAUGUGUUCAUUGAAUGCACUGCUACUGAUCUGACAAAAGCAAAGAUAGUUUUAAACACAGUGGUGACGACCUUCUCAGAAUAUUGUGAAAGAAAGUUUGAAAUUGAGCCAGUUGAGGUGAUAUAUUCUGAUGGGAAGUCGGUUGUUUAUCCUGAUUUAUCUUUCUACAAUAUGGAAGUUCCUCUAUCUUAUAUUGAAGUUUCUGCUUGCCUAUGUACUGAACAUAUUUCUACUUGUUGUAUAUCAAUUAUGUACUGAACAUAUGAUUCAUGUAAGAGCUCCAUUUGACUUGUAAGGAAUAGACAGUUGUUAGUUGAAACAGUGUGCAAGUGGAUUUGUAUGAAUGUAUGAAUAUCUUGCAGAUUAUAU